UACGAAGGGGGCUAGCGUUGCUCGGAAUCACUGGGCGUAAAGCGCACGUAGGCGGCUUUCUAAGUCAGGGGUGAAAUCCUGGAGCUCAACUCCAGAACUGCCUUUGAUACUGGAGAGCUCGAGUCCGGAAGAGGUGAGUGGAACUCCGAGUGUAGAGGUGAAAUUCGUAGAUAUUCGGAAGAACACCGGUGGCGAAGGCGGCGACCUGGGUAGAUACUGACGCUGAGGCGCGAAAGCGUGGGGAGCAAACAGG
rnacentral:rRNA from 1 species